CCUACGGGAGGCAGCAGUGGGGAAUAUUGGACAAUGGGGGGAACCCUGAUCCAGCGACGCCGCGUGAAUGACGAAGGCCUUCGGGUCGUAAAGUUCUUUCGACAGGGAAGAAAAUGUCUAUAAGUAACUGUUUUUGUAUUGACGGUACCUGUAUAGACAGCCUCAGCUAACUCCGUGCCAGCAGCCGCGGUAAUACGGAGGGGGCGAGCGUUGUUCGGAGUGAUUGGGCGUAAAGCGCACGUAGGCGGUGUUGUAAGUCAUUAGUUAAACACUUGGGCCCAAAGUUAGGAAGGCUAGUGAUACUAGCAAACGAGAGUAUGAGAGAGGUAGGCGGAAUGCCUGGUGUAGCGGUGAAAUGCGUAGAUAUAAGGAAGAAAACC
rnacentral:rRNA from 1 species